rnacentral:rRNA from 1 species
UACGUAGGGACUCAGUCGUUCGUCCGAUUACUGGGUGUAAAGGGUGCGCAGGCGGACUGGUUAGUCUGGGGUGAAAUCUCAUCGCUUAACGGUGAAACUGCCUUAGAUACUGCCAGUCUUGAAUUAGGGAGAGGUUCGUGGAAUUCCGAGUGUAGCAGUGAAAUGUGUAGAUAUUCGGAAGAACACCAGUGGCGAAGGCAGCGAACUGGCCCUUAAUUGACGCUCAGGCACGAAAGCAUGGGGAUCAAACAGG